rnacentral:misc_RNA from 1 species
GAUGAAGAACGCAGUGAAAUGCGAUAAGUAAUGUGAAUUGCAGAAUUCAGUGAAUCAUCGAAUCUUUGAACGCACAUUGCGCCCGCCAGUAUUCUGGCGGGCAUGCCUGUCCGAGCGUCAUUUCAACCCUCGAACCCCUCCGGGGGGUCGGCGUUGGGGAUCGGCCCUGCCUCUUGGCGGUGGCCGUCUCCGAAAUACAGUGGCGGUCUCGCCGCAGCCUCUCCUGCGCAGUAGUUUGCACACUCGCAUCGGGAGCGCGGCGCGUCCACGGCCGUUAAACACCCAACUUCUGAAAUGUUGACCUCGGAUCAGGUAGGAAUACCCGCUGAACUUAAGCAUAUCAAUAAGCGGAGGA